rnacentral:rRNA from 1 species
AGUGAACGCGGGCGGUAGGCCUAACACAUGCAAGUCGAACGGCAGCACAGUAAGAGCUUGCUCUGACGGGUGGCGAGUGGCGGACGGGUGGGGAAUACAUCGGAAUCUACUUGUUCGUGGGGGAUAACGGAGGGAAACUUACGCUACUACCGCAUAGGCCCUACGGGCGAAAGCAGGGGAUCGUCGGACCUUGCGCGAUUGAAUGAGGCGAUGACGGAUUAGCUAGUUGGCGGGGUAAAGGCCCACCAAGGCGACGAUCCGUAGCUGGUCUGAGGGGAUGACCACCCACACUGGACCUGAGACACGGUCCAGACUCCUACGGGAGCCAGCAGUGGGGACUAUUGGACAAUGCGCGCAGGCCUGAUCCAGCCAUACCGCGUGGGUGAAGCAGGCCUUCGGGUUGUAAAGCCCUUUUGUUGGGAAAGAAAAGCAGCAGGUUAAUACCCCGCUGUUCUGACGGUACCCAAAGAAUAAGCACCGGCUACCUUCGUG